rnacentral:rRNA from 1 species
AGCUCCAAGAGCAUAUAUUAAAGUUGUUGCAGUUAAAAAGCUCGUAGUUGAAUAUCUGGUAUAACGUACCUGGCCCGCAGCCUUUAGGCUUGUGUGUGCCGGCGCACGUUUGCCAUCUUUCUAGAAAACGGGUCUGCCAUUAACUUGGUGGGUUCGGGAUCUAGAUCAUUUACUUUGAAAAAAUUAGAGUGUUUAAAGCAAGCAAUUGCUCUGAAUACAUUAGCAUGGAAUAAUAAUCUAGGACUUCGGUUCUAUUUUGUUGGUUUCUAAAACUGAAGUAAUGAUUGAUAGGGACAGUUGGGGGUGCUAGUAUUGGCCGGCCAGAGGUGAAAUUCUUGGAUUCGGUCAAGACUAACUUAUGCGAAAGCAUUCACCAAGGAUGUCUUCU